UGGGGAAUAUUGCACAAUGGAGGGAACUCUGAUGCAGCGACGCCGCGUGAACGAAGAAGGCUUUCGAGUCGUAAAGUUCUUUUAUAUGGGAAGAUAAUGACGGUACCAUAAGAAAAAGCCCCGGCUAACUACGUGCCAGCAGCCGCGGUAAUACGUAGGGGGCUAGCGUUGUCCGGAAUCACUGGGCGUAAAGGGUUCGCAGGCGGAAAUGCAAGUCAGGUGUAAAAGGCAGUAGCUUAACUACUGUAAGCAUUUGAAACUGCAUAUCUUGAGAAGAGUAGAGGUAAGUGGAAUUAGUAGUGUAGCGGUGAAAUGCGUAGAUAUUAAAAAGAAUACCGGUGGCGAAGGCGACUUACUGGGCUCAUUCUGACGCUGAGGAACGAAAGCGUGGGUAGCAAACAGG
rnacentral:rRNA from 1 species